rnacentral:lncRNA from 1 species
UUUGAAGUCGCUAAAGACCUCUUCUACAGUUCGAGGUACUGGGUGCGGUAUCCCCUCCAUGGCGCGUUUGAAGCUGGUUUUUCUAUCUGUUUUUAUUUUUUGGGAUGAAUUUGAAAGGAACUUAUCUUCUGGGUAUUAAAUUGCUCUCAGUCUUCCAGAGUGAGCAUAGACAGAUAGAAAUGCAGGCGAGAUGGAUUGUGCGUAACUGAAAAGGAUAAUAACAAGAGAAAGGACAAAAUUGAAAGAAGGAAUUAGGGUUUGGAGAGAAAUCAAAAGGCAGGAGUAGUAUGAUUUUGAUUAAGAGGAAUUAGGUCUAGGGUUUGCAAAGUCUAUUUCUUUUCCAGAUUUGGGGAGAAAGCAGAGAAAAAAAAAAGAGGAGGUAGGAAGGAAGGAGAGGAUGGAGGAGAGAAGGAGGAGCGGACGGAGCGAGCAAUCCACUCUGUGCAUCAAUAAGUUUGAAAUUUUGGAUUGUUAUUUCUUUUUAUUAUUAUCAGUUAAUAAUUCCCCCAAAUUUCCUAAAGGGAAAGGGACAGAAACAUUCUGUUAAGUUCCUAUAGUUUUACACAUGAGCUUCUAAGUCCUUCAACUUGUAUAGGAAACAACGGGUCUAUUUAUUUUUCGUCGAAGAAGAGAAAAGUGUUAGUCCGAAGACAGAAUACAGUACCGUAAAGGGAUCGAAAAAUUAGCGUCCGGAUAACAAAGAGGCUCACGUGCCACUAAACGGGAGACAUAGUUAUCCCGUCAGGAAACAAAACAAAGUGAAACUAUUGAGAGGGUCCGGUGCAGGAGGUGACAUUCGGUUAGUAGUUGACCUGCUCUUGCGUCCCUGAUCGAAGAGUUGAUGAGACGAACGGCUUCGUCAAAACUGGAGUAGAUGGAGACGUUCUCGUCAGGUCUAGCGGUGGCUGCCUAGAAUGCUUGACUGAAACGUGUGAUUCUUUGAGAACACAAGUUAGAAUUUCCUAGCUGAGUCUUCUUUAUUGUUUUGUGCUGUUAACUAAGUCAACAAUUAUCCAAAAGUACCUUUAAUUUAACAUUUAAAAAAGAGCGUUUGAGAUGAAUCUUAGUUCAUUACAUCUGAUGGUAGUACACUAGGAAGCCAAGUAAUGAAUAUGCAAACAUUACCUGUACCUCUUAACAAAGUGUAAGGAAAGCUUAACAUGAUAAGGAUAGGGAAGCACAAUUAACUGAAAAGCCCACUCUUCAGGACGUACUAGUUCAACCUAUAGCGCAAAAGGCCAAAGCAACAUUGUCCUUGGUUCAUAACGAAAAUCAUAGAGCUCAUCCUUCUUCAUCUCCGCAUAACACGAUUACGCUCCCGUUUUCUAAAUCGUUCUAGCAUUAUCUGAUCCGUUGCAGCUUCCCUGCGAGCUGCUGCUCCUGCUUCUGUAUUAUUGUUAUCUGCAGUAGGUUUGGAUACACCUCCAUCCUCCUUUGACGACUUCCCUUCCUUGUUGUACAACUCUGGAUGUUCUGCAACUCCAAAUUAACCACGUUAAACACACACCUGAGUAUACCAAGAUUUCUGACCCCGUUGUAUACUUCAUCAAAUUAUUUAUGCAGAAAAUUGCUUCAAAUGUAUUCACAAGUGAAAAAUCAAGAUGAAUAGAAUAAAAACAAACCUCUUCGGAGUUUCUCGGCGUAAUCUCUGCCGCGCUGGAAAUAAUCAGCACUGUAACUGGAUGGGAUAUUAAAGUCAGAUUUUGCUCUUCCCAUCAACCUCUUCUCCUGCAAUAGCUUCUUGGCUGCUUCUGUUUCUUCAAUGUUUUUCAGCUUAUAUCUAGAACCACAAAAAAACAUGCAGUACAUGAACAAUAGAAUCAUAGAAGUGAAGAUUAGGGAGGACUAGCACACUGUGCAGACGUUUUAAAGGCUUUCUCUUACUGAAUGAGGAUCAUACAAUAAACAAGAAGAAAAGAAAGAUAGGUUAUGCAAUUGUGCAUUUCAGCUCCCCUUUUCCAUAAACCAACCACUAAAAGCCUACCAUUGAAGAAUAACAGCUUCUCCAACCAUACAAAUCCAUCCAAAGAAUCAAAGAAAAAGUUGCAUACUCAAUUGGCAACUGAACUUCCGCAAUGCCUGUAGUCCAUUGAGUAGAGCUCUCUUCUGAGUUACGCUUUUUAACCUGACAAAUAGAUGGUCAAAUUGAGAACAGAUAUUCUAAGUGGUCACAUUGUUUCCAGAACCACGUGAGAAAGGAAAAAGGGCUAGAUAUGAUCCAUGAACUCACUUUAAGAUGUUCAGGGAUUUUGUAUAGUUCAUCCUCAGCCUGCUUUAACUCAUUCUCAACUUGAGCUUCCGUGUCAACGUUCUUUCCUCUUUUCUUAGCUAAUUCCUGCUCAACAUACUUCAACCUGUGAAUCAAUCAAAAGCAGAAUUGUUGUUAAAAUGGAAGCAAAGUGCCCUCAGAGAAAGCUAAUGGUGACAGAACGAACAAGAAGCAGAAACGAAAACUUCAGACUCUUUUAGCUGCUUAAGUUAGGAAGAAGGUUUAAGUAAGCUGAUCAGGAACAGAAGAACACGACUACAGAAGUAAUCUUCAACAGUAAUCCUGCUAUUAAGGGAUAAUAUGGACGGAGUGGUUGUUCAUAACAUAUAUGAAAUCGACUACGUUAUUGGAAACAAAAAUCUGAACGAGGGGAAGUAAGAGAGAGUUACAUGUUGGGGUCUUCAACCAUAACGGCAGUUUCUUGAGCGAAGGUGUCUUGAAGGACGAGCUCCUCCUUUUCCCCAUCUCCUCCUCCGGCGGAAGCAGCAGCUGCGGCGGCUGCAGCGUCGUUACUAUCAGCUAGUUUCUUGGAUAAUGAGGAGGACAGGGAUUGGGACGAGGGAAGCGCAGGGAUUCCAUAUUUCCUCUGUCGCUGUUUCUGAAGGAAUUUGACUUCUUCUAAUGCCAAUCUGGACAAGGGAGAAAAAGAGCGGAGGUAAGAACCCUAAUUUGCUGAAGGAAGAGAACACUGAUGGAAUACAGAACAGUGAAUAUACCUCCUUUCUUCAUCGUCAUCGUUGUCUGAUAAGCUGCUGUUGGGAUUGCUAGGUUGACGGUUUCCGGAUUCUCCUUCCUCCUCUUCUGGAAAAGCCCUCUUCCUGAAAUUCUUGUUCUUCUUAUUCUGCAUCUCUGUUCCAGUGGGCGUAGAGAUGAACAAGCAAAGAUGAUGUUAUCAAAUUAUCAAUCAAAUGACUGCAGACUGCAGUCGUAGCGCCGGUGGGAGGUUAAUAACAACGUUAAAAAGUUGAAGGGGCAAAAGAGUAAGGAACAUCAAGUUUAGUGACUUCAUAUUACUUUUCCCAAUUAAUUUCCAUUUCCUUUCAGCUGCAGAGAGAGAUCUCGCCGUCCCAACUCUCUACUCGUCUAUCGGCUUCCUUGCUUUUUUACUCUCCGGCGGCCGGGUUUCCCUCCUUCCGGCCUGAAGCAAGAACCAGAGGAGUCUCAGUUUCUUCUAACUUCGUUCCCACAGUGACUACUGGUACUGCAGAAUCUUAUCUGUUUUUCUGCUCUUUAUUUUAAACCAACUGAAUGCCUUGAAUGUAGUCAAAUGAGAUUGGCAUGGCCAUCUUGAUUUGAGAAUGUAGGGAUCGAAGUGUCUUCCUUUGAAGAAACUUCAUAAUCAAGUGUCUAUCUGAGAUGAACUGGAUUUGCUAGAUUUUCCGGCUUCUUAUGCUUCCCUUUCCCUUAUGUUCUUACCCCAAGCUACGAAUGAAACUCAUUUACCGCAUAUAUUCAACCAAUUUACUCCAUUGAUGGUUGGUUGUUGUCGGCUGAUCAUUAGUAAAAUUUUCUCCUUUGCUUUAUGAGUCAGUUAGCUGAUUUCAGUUCUAUUUAUCGAAUAUUACUGUCAACUGUUUGCUUUACCGGCAUUCGAUGCCUACCCUUUGUCAUUGAUUUUGGUUCCACCUUAAUUCAUUCCUACCCUCCCUCAAUUUCAACAUUACAUACAAAUCACAAUAUCAACCUUGAUACCACGACACCUAUAAUUCCAAGUUCCAACGACUAUCCCAGAUUCCAGACAACAUCAGCUGAAGGAAACCAUUAAGCCGAUAAUAAGAUUACUCAAAAAAGGGCAGAAGAGAAUAACUAAAGAACAAAUAUUAACACCUUGGCAAAAAGGAUAAUAAUAGAUAAAUAUUCCGAUCACCAGUCAUUUUCGUUACUUCCUAAAAAUGGGCGCCUAAACUGGGCCAGUUGGUUAAGUUUUUCCACUUUUAAAACAGCUUCUGCAACCAAACUUACGGAUCACCAAAAUUAAAAAGAAAAGCUUCUUCUUCUUCACAACAUCACCUUCUUCUUCUUCUUCUUCUUCUUCUUCCUAAUCACCUCCCUAAACUCUUGCCCUCUUGCCACUGCACCCUGGGCAUUUAUACUGCUUGAUGUGCUCCGCCUUUGCUGGUGUAAUCUUCACGCAUUUCCCGUGAAACCAUCUCUCACAUAUAUCGCAGCAGAUCCAGAAUUCGUCAGUUCCAUAGCUUUCACCACAUGCCCCACACGUUGCACCUUGUUCAUCAUCCUCUUCAUCCUCUUCCCCGCUCUCAUCUUCCUCCUUCGGUGGUGGUGGAGACAUCUUUACCAUCUUUGUAAGGGGUUCCGGGUGCCGAGAUUGCUUUACAUACCCAACACCAAAGAGUAUAUAUAUGUAAUAAGUUAACCAAAUUCCAGCAAUCAAUAAAAUUGUACAGCAUAAGCAUGUAUGAAUCAAAAGCUCAUAUUCUCUUACCAUCUUCGCACUUAAUUUGCUUUUACUGCUGUUGUUAUGCGUUGCAGAAUGGUCUUUAGGUUGCUUAGCGUUUCCUGACACUACUUCAAAUAUUGUGGGGACUUCAUUUAUCAUCUGAAAAAGUCUCUUCCUGCAAAUAAAAAACCCCCAACUUCAAUCAGCAUCAGACCAUCAAUGAGGUUCCAUGAAACGUAAUUGACAAGUUCAUUAAUGUUAUAAAUGCAGCCAACCAACAAAGCAUAUUUCCAGGUUUCACUCAGCAGGGUAGAUAUUGAGAUACUGAUUCUAUCACAACACCUAGAUAGCCCAAUCGGCAACGACCAAUGUAAUGCAACUUAGACAAGAACUGUACAAUUUAUAAAAAUUGCAAGAUAGAAGAAGUCAGAGGACAAGGGAUAUAUCAUAGUAAAGCUUUCAUCCUGAUUAUAAGGAUCAAAUAUCAUCAUCGACGUGAAAUCACACGGCUAAUCUACUGCAUACAACUUCUUACGGACUGUAUCGCACAAAAUAAGAGCAUAUGAAAAUAACCAUUGCCAUCUUUAUUGUGUCCUCUAAACGUUUGUUCUUCAGUUUACCGACCAGAAUGUAAUGAAUAGUUACAUGCAUGAUGCAAGCAUGCAAAUAUAGAUACUUUUAACCAAUAAAUCAACAUGGAACCCUAUUAAUUUAACACAGAAAUGAGAAAAACAUUUACUGUCUGCUGAACAACUUCGGACUCCUUUAAAAUGUAGAUAGUUGCAACUAGCUAGGUUUUUGCUCUGUUGAGCGUAGUACACUACCAAGACAAGUGGGAUUCAUCAAUUCAUAGAUUGCAGCAAGCAGACAGCUAUAAAACAGGAUUGAACCGUACCUUUCGUUCUUACCAAACCCAAAACGUGCUCCAAAGUAAAAGGCAACAGCAAGCAACCAUGAAUCACUGUGAACUGCAACAAGUGACAACCAAUCCUUCUCUUGCAUCCCAUCUCUAGCAAAAUUAAUGCCUAAUGCAGGCUCAGGAAGCUCAGGCGGUACUUCCUCAACAGGCAAAUUAACUUCCCAGUUCUCAUUUGGAAGUCCAUAAAGACACAGGUUCUCCUUCUCUGUCAAGACAAAGUUAACACAAACCAGAUACAAAUAAAUCAAAAUUCAUGCCUGACAAGUAAAACCAAAGAGCUAAGAGGAAAACAUCCUCUGUAACUAAAAUUACUAAACCAGAACAAACUCUGAUGGAUGGGAAAAAGUGAAGAACGCUAUGGUCAAAAAUAUUGAGGAGAAAUUAGAAACUACUAACUGGGACAGCAUCUAUACCACAAACCCCCGCAUAAUCAUAGAGUAGUAUAACAGGCAAUUAAUUACCAGAUGGUCACAUGUAAUUCAAUCACGGUGAAUAUUAAUAACAUACUUUAGCUACCAUACCUACACCACACAUUCAUAUCAAACCACAUCAUCCAAUGCUACACCACCCACUGGAAUACAAGAGUCUAGAAGCUAACAACAAUGCAAAUUUUUUGGGCAUGUACAUACAAAAGGGGAUAUGAAGUCUUUAAAAGCAUGUCUUUCUUCUGCGAGCACAUGAACGCAUGCAAGAACGCACUGAAGAGAAAGAAUACAGCAAACAAACCACCAUCAAGAAUGGAGGAAAGUAAGUGUACUGUUCGCCACAUUUUAACUAUAAUGGUUUGGUACACUAGCUGUACAGAAGCUAAAACACAUAAAAAAACAGAGAAGCCAAUACCCACAUAAAAGUGCUGGACAGUGAAAACCGGUUUGGUUUGAAAACAUAGAAAAAUUUUAAAUGUCAGGAUGUAGCAAUUACUCUUAAUCAUAAAAGUUUAGUCUAACUACAUCAGUCUUUACAGCCAUCAAGCGCUCAAAAGACCAAAUGCCAGGCUUCACAUUAGUUAAGUAACUGAGGUGCUUGCGUAGCUCAAGUCCACCUGCAGUUUCAAUAAGCAACCCGAAGGACAAACACAAGCAGACUACAAUAUAACAAGAAAUAAAGCUGUGUUUCAGGCAUUACAUUUCAACCAAGCAGGCUAACCACACUAGUCAAGCUACAACUUUGAUAAUACUCAUGGAUAAAAAGUUAAACCGUAAACGUUUUAGGUUUUACAGACAUAACAAAUGACGACAAAAAUCAGUCAUGGCCACUGAUUAUCCAAUGUGAUUGAUUGCGUUAAGCACAAAUUUCAAGAAGGACCAACAAACAUGGAACGAACUAUUAAUCCAAAAUGCUCCAGCUAAAGAGGCUGGAUUAAACUCAAACUUAAACCGCCGUGCAGAGAAAACCAUUGAUAAGAACAAUAAAUAAAGCACAUGGUAAUAACACUUCUAAUGACCGAAUUCAACCUUCAAAAUAAAAACAUUUGCAGAAUUUGCAGCAUUACAAAGCCAAUACCCACUUCAUAAUUCUGGAGUUGUAUUCUUUUUAGAGAUAUUAUAGAGAGAGAGAGAGAGAAAAUUUAAACGGAUAACCGGAACCCACCAGGGUCACACUGCUGGUAAAACUUCUCAACAUCUGCAAGAGGAAAUCAAAAACAUCAGAAGAUAAUUACCAUCAGGAGAUAAUUACAACCAGAAAGAGAUGCAGACGUCCAAUCUAAAUAAAAGUUAAAAACAUAAGCCAAUUGGAGAAAUACGAAGAAAGUACGAAAACAGAGAGGCAGGGGGGGGAAAGAGACCCAUAGUGAGAGCCUUGAUUAAUCCAGCGCGGCCGCCGCCUCAGUAAAGGACAAAAUUGAAAGAAGGAAUUAGGGUUUGGAGAGAAAUCAAAAGGAGGAGUAGUAUGAUUUUAAUUGAAAGGAAAUUAGGUCUAGGGUUUGCAAAGUCUAUUUUUUUCAGAUUUGGGGAGAAAGCCAAAAUAAAAGAGGAGGUAGGAAGGAAGCAGGGGAUGGAGGAGAGAAGGAGGAGAGCGGACGGGAGUCUGGAUAGCCAGCAAAUAAAAGGAGUAUUUGC